GUCAUUUUAUUUGGUUCUGGGGUCAUUGAUUUUGCAAGCUCUGGUGUUGUUCACUUGGUUGGAGGCAUAGCAGGCUUGUGGGGUGCUCUGAUUGAAGGCCCAUGCAUAGGCCGGUUCGAUCAUGAAGGUAGGUCUGUGGCUAUGCGUGGACAUAGCGGCACAUUGGUUGUUUUGGGGACAUUUCUGCUUUGGUUUGGUUGGUAUGGCUUCAAUGCAGGCUCAUUCCUCAACAUUCUCAAGGCCUAUGGGGAGAGUGGAUCCUAUUACGGACAAUGGAGUGCAAUAGGAAGAACUGCAGUGACAACCACAAUGGCUAGAUAUGCUCAGCAGCACUGACUACUCUUUUUGGGAAGCGCUUGCUCUCCGGUCAUUGGAACCUCACCGACGUUUGCAAUGGCUUGCUUGGUGGGGUUGCAGCAAUCACCUCUGGUUGCUCAGUUUUCGAGCCUUGGGCUGCAAUCAUUAAUUGUGGGUUUGUGGCAGCUUGGGUUUUGAUGGGAUGCAACAAGCUUGCUGAGAAGUUGAAGUAUGAUGAUCCAUUGGAAGCAGCACUGCUUCAUGGAGGGUGGCUCAUGGGGAAUUAUAUUCACUGCAUUGAUGGGAGGAGGUGGAAAGCUCUUGGCUGCACAUUUGGUUCAGAUUGUAGGGUUUGUGAGCUUGACAAUGGGAACAUU